CCGAAAAACUUAGUGGGUAAAUAGCCCAAGGCAAAUAACUGAAGCUCAGAACAAGCGUGACUCAGCAGCUGCUGCCGGCUACACCCAGACGAGCCAAACACCACCCGGAAAACUGCAUUCUGUGAGUGUCUGUGUGUGACUCACGGCUGCCCUGCCCACUUGAUACGAAUAUCAAAGGAGUCCAGAACCACAUGAAUUUCAAC